rnacentral:rRNA from 1 species
AACGAACGCUGGCGGCAGGCCUAACACAUGCCAGUCGAGCGUCCCGCAAGGGGAGCGGCGGACGGGUGAGUAACGCGUGGGAACGUACCCUUUGCUACGGAAUAGCCUCGGGAAACUGGGAGUAAUACCGUAUGUGUCCUUCGGGAGAAAGAUUUAUCGGCAAGGGAUCGGCCCGCGUUGGAUUAGGUAGUUGGUGGGGUAAUGGCCUACCAAGCCGACGAUCCAUAGCUGGUUUGAGAGGAUGAUCAGCCACACUGGGACUGAGACACGGCCCAGACUCCUACGGGAGGCAGCAGUGGGGAAUCUUAGACAAUGGGCGCAAGCCUGAUCUAGCCAUGCCGCGUGAGCGAUGAAGGCCUUAGGGUUGUAAAGCUCUUUCAGGGGGGAAGAUAAUGACUGUACCCCCAGAAGAAGCCCCGGCUAACUCCGUG